UUGCUCUCUCACCCGACAGGAAGGAAACUAUUACUUUUCUUAAGCUUCUUCCUUGGUAAACCAUAUUUACGAAGACUCAGCUUGGUCCUGAAAUGCAGCAGAGACUUGUCAAGCAAAAGUCUAUUCCAGAAGCAGUCACAGCCGAGCUUUACAUCCAUCAUGAGGGCUGCAUCAAAGUAUAAACUCUUCACGAUAUUUUCAAGCGGAUCAAAAUACUUGGAUGAGAAAUGCUGGGAAAUUUUAGAAGGGAAAUGCUACUUGAAGAAUAUUUAAAAUGCUGUUUAUGGAAACAUUUUACAUAUUUG
rnacentral:lncRNA from 1 species